rnacentral:lncRNA from 1 species
CUCUUACUCUCCCAAGCUCUGCUACCUAAUGCUGCUGUGAAAUAGCAAAUUUCCAAGGAACAGAGAAUUUUACUUCAUUUGGUAUCACAACAUUUUCCAGAAGAAUUUCCAGUUGCUUAAUGAAAAUUUGAACAUUGGACUCUACCAGUGUGGCAAGAGAGCUGUUUGUUCAUUACAUAUAAUGCUGGUCUGCCUUUCCUGUGUAAGAACUUGGCCAACAAGAAUUUACUGACCAUUUGAACCACACUGAUCUGGUGUCCCUGCAAAAUCAUGCUUUAAAAAAAUAAACAUUUUUCAGCAAAGGAGUUAUGGCAGUAGGGACAUCCUUGGGAUUCACUGAUUGUCUUCCUUACUGUACUGCCAGAGAUGAACAGGCAAUAAAAGGAGACAGCAUAUUGUCAAGAGUAAUUAGCCCUGAUCAUCAAGGAAAGACUUUCAUCUGUGGGGGACCCUAAAGGAGGUCAUAUAUCAUGGAAAAUCAACUAUCUUGCCAGCCCUUGGAGAAGAAAUGGAAAAUGCAUGUGCAGCAAUCCCAAUGGAUAUGUUGACCAAGGUUACACAAGCAGCAGUUCACCGUACUAAUAAAUAUCUGAAAGCAAAUGACCAUCACUUUGAGAACCUCUUGGAGUUGGAGAGGCCAAAGGAAUAUCUUGUGCACGUUGAUUCCAGGAAGCAGAAAAGAAUGGAUUAUAGACACUGUGAAACUUAAUGGAUCCUCAGUAAAUGGAACAAAGUAAUACAUAUGGCAGAUAUUGAGUCUUUUGGAGAUUAUGUUCAGUUCUCUAUUAUAUUAACAUCUUCAGGGUUAGGGGGGUGUAUGAAUAUUUUAACUUUAAGGAAGAUACUACUUGAUACUAGUUGGAUGUUUUUCAAAUUUCCUUGAUAUGUAUCCUAGUAUUUUGCUGCCUUAAUGGAUUACUUCGUUUAUAUGGUGUUGUUUAUAAAUAAUGCCCUCUCAGAUUUGCUCUAUGUCAUACCUUCAAAGUAUUUGGCUGACUUUUUAAAAAGCAGUAGAAAAUUUAAAUUUUAGGGGAAUAUUUUCAGUCCUGGGAAUCUUCUAAAUGCUUCAGAAAUUAUCAAUACAAGGCAAAUAAAUGAAAUGAAAAAAAGACAUUGAAGAAAAAGCAGUGAAGUAGCUUUGAAAAUGAUUAAAGUUCCCGGACUAUAACGCGUUUGUCAUUAGUAUUUCCAUGUUAUAAAUACAAAAAUUUUGACCUACCAGUCCACUGAACUUACAGUUUUUAGUGAUAUAUUGAAAAUAUUUAUAAUAACCAAAAUAGCUACAUAGAAACUUUGGGAUGUAAGCAUGAUAGUAAUAUCUAAAAGAAUAUUUUAUAAUAAAAAGGUGGGAUAAGAGGUUUUGUUAUUACUAAAAUGAUUUAUUUAGCAUUGCUUUCCUUGAAACAUUUGCGAAAUGAGUACUUAAAAUAAUGGAGACCAAAAUAGCUUAUUUAUUUAUUUUCUUGCAUAUUUUUUCUCCAUAUAUACAUUUUUUUCCUGAUGAUGCAAUUAUUCAAUUCAAAAACUAAAUUUUCUCACUUCCUUAUAUAAAAUGUUUUUUCUUAUUAUUCUUUUUUAUUUUGUAAACAUAUAUUAACCAUUUCCUAAUACUAUUUAUUCUAAUUGCCUGGAGGAACCUUUUUUUCCUUUCCAAUUCAAGCAAAUUUUGGAGUGUGCCCUAGGUAGUUGAAAUAUUCUGGCUCAUGACCAAAUUUAAUUUUUUCUCUUCCUAAUGCAUCCUACCAGUACAAGUGACUAAUAAAAUAGACACUAGCUGGAUCUGGAGAUUAAUCCAGCACCAUUUUUUUCCUGAAUCUAAAAUCUCCAUCAUUAAUUUACCUACAAAUUAUUUUGACUCUAUACUUAUGAGGGAAGAAUUACUAUAGAUGUAGUGUGUUUCUUCAAACUGAUGUAGAAAUAAAUAUGAAAUUUGUCCUCUCUAGUUUGGAAAUAUGUAUUACUGAAAUAGCAUGUCAAAAAUACCUUCUUGUUAUCUGGGAAUUCAAUUUGGUCUUCAGCAAGAACACUCGUUUUAAUAAAAUAUAAAAAAAUAAAAUAAAUAUAUCUGCUGGAAUGAAAUCUGAGUUCUUGAGAAUAUAAUUUAAUAUGAGCCACUGAAUACAAGGUUAAUUCAUCUUCAUAGCAUGAGAAAUGAAAAGGAUUUGGGGGAUAAAAUGAGGUAGACCAGAAAGAAAUGUGGGUAUAACGUAUAGAAAAUACCAUCCCCAGAUUAUUUUACAAAGCAUCACAAAAUGAGACAUUUGAGAGACAAUUCUCCAUAGUUCUCUCUUUUCUCUCUUUUGAAUGACUCACUGACAGCCUUUGGUUUGGACAAUGUUUUUAAAGAUAUUUAUAUAAAAGUACGCCUUGAAAGGAAAGAUAAUCUCAUAAUAAAGAGGAGAAGGCUGAUUUGCUGUCUAGAAUAAGAACUGUAUUUUUUUUUCUCUCUGUUGCAAACAUUGGGCCAGUUUGCUUAAACGAUAGCAACUGGAGUUGCUAAAGCGUAUGCUUCUUCAUUCAGGGCCCAAAUCCACCAAUGUGCAGCAUGUCGUUGCGUCACCCCAGAGAAACUUGUAUAUCAAGGAGAACCUACACAAUCCUAACUGCUGCCUGCUCUGCCUCUCCUUCUCUCCCUUCCUUCUUUCUCUCCUACUAUUUUUUUCUUUAGUUGUGUGAGUUCUUGUUUUUCACUAGAAAUCAAAGAAAUUGUCUCAGUUAUACCUCUGGACUUGGAAGAUCGAGAAAUAAAAUGGAUGGAUCAGGUGCUGAGAUAAAUGUAUCAAUAUCAAGAUUCUACAAAUUUAAAUCUUCAGGCCUAAAGUACACAUGAGAACAUAAACCUCAAAGAAUUUAUACCAACCCUAACAUAGCUGUGAAAUUUUCUCACAAAUAAAGAAGUAUCUAAACCUAUUUGAUGAAAAAGUUAAAGGGCAAAUUCAAAAGGUUAACAUUUAUUUUUCCCUAAUUUAGCACAAUGAAAUAAUUAUAGAGUACAUUAUGAGGAAAUACACAAUAAAGCAUAUUUUUAA